CCAAUAGCGUAUAUUAAAGUUGUUGCAGUUAAAAAGCUCGUAGUUGAAUUUCGGGGUCAGCAGGUUGGUCGUGCCACUGGUAUGCACUGGCUUCGCUGAUCCCUCCUUUCUGAAGAACUGUAAUGUCAUUAAUUUGGUGUUGCAGGGAAACAGGACUGUUACUUUGAAAAAAUUAGAGUGUUUAAAGCAAGCUAACGCUUGAAUACAUUAGCAUGGAAUAAUGAAAUAGGACGUUCGAUCCUAUUUUGUUAGUUUCUAGGAUUGACGUAAUGAUUAAUAGGGAUAGUUGGGGGCAUUAGUAUUCAAUUGUCAGAGGUGAAAUUCUUGGAUUUAUUGAAGACUAACUACUGCGAAAGCAUUUGCCAAGGAUGUUUUCAUUAAUCAAGAACGAAAGUUAGGGGAUCGAAGACGAUCAGAUACCGUCGUAGUCUUAACCAUAAACUAUGCCGACUAGGGAUCGGAUGAUGUUAAUUUUUUAAUGACUCAUUCGGCGCCUUACGG
rnacentral:rRNA from 1 species